GCCGGGCAUGGUGGCACAUGCCUAUAAUCCCAGUGGCCAGGAGGCUGAGACAGGAGGAUCAUGAGUUCAACCAGCCUCAGCAAGGGGCACUAAAAAACUCUGCCUCUA
rnacentral:sRNA from 1 species